rnacentral:tRNA from 1 species
GGCCUAUUAGCUCAGUUGGUCAGAGCGUGGUGCUAAUAACGCCAAGGUCGCAGGUUCGAGACCUGCAUAGGCCA